rnacentral:rRNA from 1 species
ACUCCUACGGGAGGCAGCAGUGGGGAAUAUUGCACAAUGGGCGCAAGCCUGAUGCAGCCAUGCCGCGUGUGUGAAGAAGGCCUUCGGGUUGUAAAGCACUUUCAGUUGUGAGGAAGGUGGUGUCGUUAAUAGCGGCAUCAUUUGACGUUAGCAACAGAAGAAGCACCGGCUAACUCCGUGCCAGCAGCCGCGGUAAUACGGAGGGUGCGAGCGUUAAUCGGAAUUACUGGGCGUAAAGCGCAUGCAGGUGGUUUGUUAAGUCAGAUGUGAAAGCCCGGGGCUCAACCUCGGAACUGCAUUUGAAACUGGCAGACUAGAGUACUGUAGAGGGGGGUAGAAUUUCAGGUGUAGCGGUGAAAUGCGUAGAGAUCUGAAGGAAUACCAGUGGCGAAGGCGGCCCCCUGGACAAAGACUGACGCUCAGAUGCGAAAGCGUGGGGAGCAAACAGGAUUAGAUAACCCUGGUGGCACAGAG